GUCUUUUGUUCGUCGGCAGGUGCAGGAAGUUGUGUAUACAGUUUACUACACACAGCGCCUGACACCGAGCGGAGUUGCUGCGCCUUGACAAGUCGCAGCGCAUCGUAGCUGAAAAUCGAAGCCCACUUGGUCGCCGUGCCCAAUGUUGGAUCGCGGGUCAAAUGCUUCUGUAUUUUCAACUGGUAGCGCUCACUGUACUGUUUUUAGUCAGUGAAACGCUGGGAAGCGCUUCUGACAGCGAUGGGAUCAUCGCCUUUCCCGUACGGCCUGCCGUGCGACCGACGAAGUUCACGAGCCUCGAAGGCCAAGCCAUCGAAGGCGCAGCCGCUGAGGGCUUCAUUGCGAAAGUGUACCUCGGAACACCUCCACAACACAUAAACUUAUACGUAGA